AGUGAACGCUGGCGGUAGGCCUAACACAUGCAAGUCGAACGGCAGCACAGAGGAGCUUGCUCCUUGGGUGGCGAGUGGCGGACGGGUGAGGAAUACAUCGGAAUCUACUCUGUCGUGGGGGAUAACGUAGGGAAACUUACGCUAAUACCGCGUACGACCUACGGGUGAAAGCAGGGGAUCUUCGGACCUUGCGCGAUUGAAUGAGCCGAUGUCGGAUUAGCUAGUUGGCGGGGUAAAGGCCCACCAAGGCGACGAUCCGUAGCUGGUCUGGGAGGAUGAUCAGGCACACCGGAACGGGGAAACGGUCCAGAAUCCUACGGGAGGCGUCAGUGGGGAAUAUUGGAAAAGGGGCGCAAGCCUGAUCCAGCCAUACCGCGUGGGUGAAGAAGGCCUGCGGGUUGUAAAGCCCUUUUGUUGGGAAAGAAAUCCAUCUGGUUAAUACCCGGGUGGGAUGACGGUACCCAAAGAAUAAGCACCGGCUAACUUCGUGCCAGCCGCCGCCGCCG
rnacentral:rRNA from 1 species